rnacentral:rRNA from 1 species
CCUACGGGAGGCAGCAGUGAGGAAUAUUGGUCAAUGGGCGCGAGCCUGAACCAGCCAAGUAGCGUGAAGGAUGACUGCCCUACGGGUUGUAAACUUCUUUUAUAAAGGAAUAAAGUGAGGCACGUGUGCCUUUUUGUAUGUACUUUAUGAAUAAGGAUCGGCUAACUCCGUGCCAGCAGCCGCGGUAAUACGGAGGAUCCGAGCGUUAUCCGGAUUUAUUGGGUUUAAAGGGAGCGUAGGUGGGUUGUUAAGUCAGUUGGUAAAGUUUGGGGCUCAACCGUAAAAUUGCAAUUGAUACUGGCAGGCUUGAGUGGAGUAGAGGUAGGCGGAAUGCGUGGUGUAGCGGUGAAAUGCUUAGAUAUCACGAAGAACUCCGAUUGCGAAGGCAGCUUACUAGCCUGCCACUGACAUUGAUGCACGAAAGUGUGGGUAUCGAACAGGAUUAGAUACCCCAGUAGUC